AGCGAGUAUAGAUGAACUGGUAAAUUCAUUAGCCUUCCAAGCUAAUCUUUACGGGUUCGAAUCCCGUUACUCGCUU
rnacentral:tRNA from 1 species